UGAUUCAUAAUAUUCCUAUAUCCAGAAUUUGGUGGACAGAUUGUCAUAUAGAGGGAAGCCAGACUGCAAGGAAAAAUUCUUUCUAUAGGACUCACUGCAUAAUCAUGAAAGGAAGAAAAAUCUGACCUAUUCAGAUUUCUGCCUUCAGCACCUACUUUUUGGUGUCCUCAGAACUCACGUUUUGUGGUCUGAAUAAAAAGCUAUCCUAGAAGUAAUUAAAGUUAGUGAUGGGUAGUGGCCUCUGCUUCUCUUGGCUGUGGUUGUCAGACACAAGUUUUGUUUGUUUGCUUGAUUUGUUGAAAAGAGCAUCCUAUUUGGAGCCUCCAGCUUCCAGGAGACCAGUAUAAGCUGAAUUUGUAACAGACAAGUUUCAACUCCUAUUUACUCUUCAAUCGUGAGUAGGCUAAGACUUGGAUAAAAAAGUUCUGGAGCCCUAGAAGAAGGCACACGGCAAGAUGGCUGAAGCCACAAGAUAGAGAAAAAAGAAAAUUCCUACCUCAGAAGAGGUUGUUAGAGGGUGAUUUUAUCCAAAAGUUCUUUGAACCAGAAGGAAAAGUUCUUAGAUGUUUGGAUCUGGUUUUCUGCCCAAGCUAAAUAACUCACCAGAAACCCAAACUGCUAGUUUAAAGAGGAUUAAGAUUAGGCUUCUUCUAAAACAGUAUGACCUUGUGCUAAGGCUUCCACUAAAUUUGUUGUCACCAUACCUGACAUCUCUCAGAUGUCACACUCACCCUAUGAAGCACAUAGCUCUAGAGCAAUUACAAGAGCCUCUGGACUCGGGAAACCCUCAUGCUUGCUUUAUUCCCUGUGACCAAUGGCUACAGCCAAUGUGCUGAUAUAGGACCUGCCUGCUGGUCUCAAAAUUCCCAAGUCUGAGAAUUGUUCACC
rnacentral:lncRNA from 1 species